UACGUAGGGAGCAAGCGUUGUCCGGAAUCAUUGGGCGUAAAGCGCGCGUAGGCGGCCCCAUAAGUCCGUUGUGAAAGUCAAAGGCUCAACCUUUGAAAGCCGAUGGAUACUGUGUGGCUAGAGUACGGAAGAGGCGAGUGGAAUUCCUGGUGUAGCGGUGGAAUGCGCAGAUAUCAGGAGGAACACCAAUAGCGAAGGCAGCUCGCUGGGACGUUACUGACGCUGAGGCGCGAAAGCGUGGGGAGCAAACAGG
rnacentral:rRNA from 1 species